AAUGGUCGCAAGACUGACCCAGCCAUGCCGCGUGCAGGAAGACGGCCCUCUGGGUUGUAAACUGCUUUUAUCUGGGAAGAAAAAGUCCAUGCGUGGAAAAUUGCCGGUACCAGAUGAAUAAGCACCGGCUAACUCCGUGCCAGCAGCCGCGGUAAUACGGAGGGUGCAAGCGUUGUCCGGAUUUAUUGGGUUUAAAGGGUGCGUAGGCGGCUGAAUAAGUCAGCGGUGAAAGACUUCGGCUUAACCGGAGCARUGCCGUUGAUACUGUUUAGCUUGAGUGUUGGAGGGGUACAUGGAAUUGAUGGUGUAGCGGUGAAAUGCAUAGAUACCAUCAGGAACACCGAUGGCGAAGGCAUUGUACUGGCCAACAACUGACGCUGAAGCACAAAAGUGUGGGGAUCGAACAGGAUUAGAUACCCUGGUAGUCCACACCGUAAACGAUGAUUACUCGCUGUUAUGGUGUAUGCUGUAGCGGCCAAGCGAAAGCGUUAAGUAAUCCACCUGGGGAGUACGCCGGCAACGG
rnacentral:rRNA from 1 species